UUGAACGCUGGCGGCAGGCCUAACACAUGCAAGUCGAACGGUAACAGGAAGAAGCUUGCUUCUUUGCUGACGAGUGGCGGACGGGUGAGUAAUGUCUGGGAAACUGCCUGAUGGAGGGGGAUAACUACUGGAAACGGUAGCUAAUACCGCAUAACGUCGCAAGACCAAAGAGGGGGACCUUCGGGCCUCUUGCCAUCGGAUGUGCCCAGAUGGGAUUAGCUAGUAGGUGGGGUAACGGCUCACCUAGGCGACGAUCCCUAGCUGGUCUGAGAGGAUGACCAGCCACACUGGAACUGAGACACGGUCCAGACUCCUACGGGAGGCAGCAGUGGGGAAUAUUGCACAAUGGGCGCAAGCCUGAUGCAGCCAUGCCGCGUGUAUGAAGAAGGCCUUCGGGUUGUAAAGUACUUUCAGCGGGGAGGAAGGGAGUAAAGUUAAUACCUUUGCUCAUUGACGUUACCCGCAGAAGAAGCACCGGCUAACUCCGUGCCAGCAGCCGCGGUAAUACGGAGGGUGCAAGCGUUAAUCGGAAUUACUGGGCGUAAAGCGCACGCAGGCGGUUUGUUAAGUCAGAUGUGAAAUCCCCGGGCUCAACCUGGGAACUGCAUCUGAUACUGGCAAGCUUGAGUCUCGUAGAGGGGGGUAGAAUUCCAGGUGUAGCGGUGAAAUGCGUAGAGAUCUGGAGGAAUACCGGUGGCGAAGGCGGCCCCCUGGACGAAGACUGACGCUCAGGUGCGAAAGCGUGGGGAGCAAACAGGAUUAGAUACCCUGGUAGUCCACGCCGUAAACGAUGUCGACUUGGAGGUUGUGCCCUUGAGGCGUGGCUUCCGGAGCUAACGCGUUAAGUCGACCGCCUGGGGAGUACGGCCGCAAGGUUAAAACUCAAAUGAAUUGACGGGGGCCCGCACAAGCGGUGGAGCAUGUGGUUUAAUUCGAUGCAACGCGAAGAACCUUACCUGGUCUUGACAUCCACGGAAGUUUUCAGAGAUGAGAAUGUGCCUUCGGGAACCGUGAGACAGGUGCUGCAUGGCUGUCGUCAGCUCGUGUUGUGAAAUGUUGGGUUAAGUCCCGCAACGAGCGCAACCCUUAUCCUUUGUUGCCAGUGGUCCGGCCGGGAACUCAAAGGAGACUGCCAGUGAUAAACUGGAGGAAGGUGAGGAUGACGUCAAGUCAUCAUGGCCCUUACGACCAGGGCUACACACGUGCUACAAUGGCGCAUACAAAGAGAAGCGACCUCGCGAGAGCAAGCGGACCUCAUAAAGUGCGUCGUAGUCCGGAUUGGAGUCUGCAACUCGACUCCAUGAAGUCGGAAUCGCUAGUAAUCGUGGAUCAGAAUGCCACGGUGAAUACGUUCCCGGGCCUUGUACACACCGCCCGUCACACCAUGGGAGUGGGUUGCAAAAGAAGUAGGUAGCUUAACCUUCGGGAGGGCGCUUACCACUUUGUGAUUCAUGACUGGGGUG
rnacentral:rRNA from 1 species